rnacentral:rRNA from 1 species
AGCCUGAACGCUGGCGGCGUGGCUAAGACAUGCAAGUCGAACGGGCCUAGCAAUAGGUCAGUGGCGGACGGGUGAGUAAAGUAUCGCUAACGUACCGCGGAGCCUGGGAUAGCCGGUCGAAAGGCCGGGUAAUACCAGAUGAGACCACGGGUGGGCAUCCACCAGUGCUCAAAGCCGCAAGGCACUCUGUGAGCGGGCGAUAUCGUAUCAGCUAGUUGGUGAGGUAACGGCUUACCAAGGCGACGACGCGUAGCUGGUCUGAGAGGACGGCCAGCCACAUUGGGACUGAGACACUGCCCAGACUCCUACGGGGGGCUGCAGUAACGAAUCUUCCGCAAUGCACGAAAGUGUGACGGAGCGACGCCGCGUGGAGGACGAAGUCCUUCGGGAUGUAAACUCCUGUCAGGGGUUACCAAGUUCUGAGGAGCCCCAGAGGAAGGCACGGCUAACUCUGUGCCAGCAGCCGCGGU